UACGGCUACCUUGUUACGACUUCACCCCAGUCGCUGACCUUACCGUGGCCUGCUGCCUCCUAAGUUAGCACACAGUCUUCGGGUAAAACCAACUCCCAUGGUGUGACGGGCGGUGUGUACAAGGCCCGGGAACGUAUUCACCGUGGCAUGCUGAUCCACGAUUACUAGCGAUUCCAACUUCAUGCUCUCGAGUUGCAGAGAACAAUCCGAACUGGGACGGCUUUUAGAGAUUAGCUCCCCAUUGCUGAGUGGCUGCUCACUGUCACCGCCAUUGUAGCACGUGUGUAGCCCAGCCCGUAAGGGCCAUGAUGAUUUGACGUCAUCCCCACCUUCCUCCGGCUUAUCACCGGCAGUCCCUCUAGAGUGCCCAACUGAAUGCUGGCAACUAAAGGCGAGGGUUGCGCUCGUUGCGGGACUUAACCCAACAUCUCACGACACGAGCUGACGACAACCAUGCAGCACCUGUCACCGGUCCAGCCGAACUGAAGGAAAGCAUCUCUGCUAACCGCGACCGGGAUGUCAAAAGCUGGUAAGGUUCUUCGCGUUGCCUCGAAUUAAACCACAUGCUCCACCGCUUGUGCGGGCCCCCGUCAAUUCCUUUGAGUUUUAGUCUUGCGACCGUAGUCCCCAGGCGGGGUGCUUAACGCGUUAGCUGCGUCACCAAGCAGCAAGCUGCCUGACAACUAGCACCCAUCGUUU
rnacentral:rRNA from 1 species